UUGAAGGAGAAGUUGAGUCUUUGCUUAUGCCUCGCAAGCCUUCUCUAUUCCACAAGAGCUGGGUCAACUCUAUGCUGAAAUCAACACGAAAGCACCAGAAUUACCCAUUUCACCAAAGGACAGUACAGAUUCUGAAAAUUCAGUUGCAAAUCCAUCCUGAGUGAUCUAACAUAAGGGGAGUGCCCUUAUUAAUAUUAUCAGGCAAAAUUUAACUUUCUAAUGCCAUUUAGGUAGUUACUCG
rnacentral:misc_RNA from 1 species